UACAGAGGUCCCAAGCGUUACUGAGAAUCACUGGGUUUAAAGGGUGCGUAGGUGGUCCGUUAAGUCAGUUGUGAAAUCCCCGGGCUCAACUCGGGAACUGCUUCUGAUACUGGCGGACUUGAGGCCAGUAGGGGUCACUAGAACUGACGGUGGAGCGGUGAAAUGCGUAGAUAUCGCCAGGAAUGCCGGUGGUGAAGACGGGUGACUGGGCUGGUUCUGACACUGAGGCACGAAAGCGUGGGGAGCGAACGGG
rnacentral:rRNA from 1 species